rnacentral:rRNA from 1 species
GACGGAGGGUGCAAGCGUUGUUCGGAUUGACUGGGCGUAAAGGGCGUGUAGGCGGUCUGCCAAGUCUGAUGUGAAAGCCCGAGGCUCAGCCUCGGAAGUGCGUCGGAAACUAGUCGGCUGGAGCGCGAUAGAGGAGGGUGGAAUUCCUGGUGUAGCGGUGAAAUGCGUAGAUAUCAGGAGGAACACCGGCGGCGAAGGCGGCCCUCUGGAUCGUUGCUGACGCUGAGACGCGAAAGCGUGGGGAGCAAACAGG